GGAUUGUAGCUCAGUGGUAGAGCACUUGCCUAGCAUGGGCAGGACCCGAGUUCGAUCCUCAGCACCA
rnacentral:tRNA from 1 species